UAUAACAUCCUAGAUCUCGGCUUUUAUUUUUGAACUUUCUUCACUCUUUGCAACUACCUACAUAUAUACAUUAUAUAUGCAUUCUUUGUAUCAUCUUUACCGUACAUCCCCUUUCUUCCAUCUAUUUUCAAGCACUUAACCUAGAAGGUCUGGCCCUGGACCAUCAUUGAAGUGGGCACAUUUCUAGGCAUGUUGGCGAUACACAUGCAAAGGUUGACUCGAAAACUCAAUCUCGACGCCCAGAUCAUUUGUCUCUAAGAUUUUUGGGGCUGACUCGAGUUUUGGGACUGGUUCAAGGACAUCAAAAUUGUAAACGAAGACAUUUCGCUAAUGUACCAGUUUAUGCAAAACAUGUUCUCCGUGAAUGUGACCGACUUGAUUUUGCCGGUACCAUUCUCGACUAGGUCAACCCUGGAAAAGCUUUGCGAUUUCAUUGACUCCUGUUCAUUGUGACCGUUGCAUAGAAGCAUAAUGUUGGCUAUGGGGUUCCUCUCCCGUUAAUGUUCGAGUACUUUAGCGGCCUUCAUGAGCGCAUCGUUCAGGCAAGUUCCUUGAUACAACCUAUAGCCUCGAUGACCUUUCUCAUCGAUCUCUGGCCUUUCGUAGUCAUCCUCAUUAGAGGGGUAUUUAUAUCACGGGAAGCAGUUUGACCAUUGCGGCAAUCAAAGCUCCCCACAGUUUGACCGAUGCCUUUCUCUUGAACGCCAGUUGAGUUCGUUGCAUCCGUCAAUUAACUAGAUGAGUUCAUGCACGGCUUCCAAACAUUAAAGAUGAAUGUAUUACACCGCUUCGUAGAAAUACACUUGCCAAUUUUUUUGAGUGUUCAGUUUCCACGGAGACGUAACUAUAUGAUUGGCUUUAACGAAGAGAUUAGACUAUCUAAGGGGAGAGUCGGUGGAUUCCAAGAAGCAAUUCAACGAAGAGAGUUGGAUAUGGUUGACGUUUGAGAGUGGAUGAACAUCCAAUUAAUGCGGUAUUAAUGCCAAGUCAUGAAGUGAAAACUCCGCUUUUAUAUAAUUAAAUAGAUUCAUCUGUACUUAUAUGUUUGUUAUGUUUGAAUUGUCUCUCCUCUUCCGUUUCACUUCUUCCAUUUGGCGCUAUUCACAGUUAACUUUAAAUGGUCUCUUUUGUAUAUCGUUCUCUCAAAUUGGCACAAAAUUUGUAGUAUUCAAUAACUUUAUGGCAAGCGGUAAGACUGUAUGACUAAAUCAAUAAAUGCAUUUAAAUAUCACCAA